UGAACGACAAAAAGCGGAUCCAAGAUACAAACACUGGAACUUGCUGCAGAAGUUUCACCCAAAAGUGUUGAUAGCAAAGACUACAGAUGCAGCAAGCAUGAAGGUCAUGACGGUGACGGAGGCGAAAGUCGUGGCCUUCUUGACGUCCAUGAGUGAAGCUCCAAUGGCCAAACCAAGCCCCUAUGUUGGAAGAGUUCCUUCACAUUAGUCUUCCAAACAAACCAAAUGAGCUCCAAAGAAGAAGAAGAAGGCAUACCUGAGCAGCCACAAUGGAGAGGAAGACAGUGACCAUGGUGAGGAAGAAAGGAGCAGCACUAAGCCUUAGGCCUGCCAUGAAGUAGACAACGAGAAGGAAAAGGAUAGGCAGCAAGAGAUCAAGAGGAAGAUCACUAGUGGUUCUUGCCAAAAAGGAAGAAACCCCAGAACACUGCUAUGAAGAACAAUAAUCCUGCCUACAAAAUGUAAUUUUAUCUUAUUACAUUCAUGAACAGAAAA